UACGAAGGGGGCUAGCGUUGCUCGGAAUCACUGGGCGUAAAGGGUGCGUAGGCGGGGCUUUAAGUCAGGGGUGAAAUCCUGGAGCUCAACUCCAGAACUGCCUUUGAUACUGAGGAUCUUGAGUUCGGGAGAGGUGAGUGGAACUGCGAGUGUAGGGGUGAAAUUCGUAGAUAUUGGGAAGAACACCGGUGGCGAAGGCGGCUCUCUGGACCGAUACUGACGCUGAGGCGCGAAAGCGUGGGGAGCAAACAGG
rnacentral:rRNA from 1 species